rfam:Camelus ferus unplaced genomic scaffold scaffold1906, whole genome shotgun sequence.
GUGGGAAUAGCUCAGUAGUAGAGGGCAUGCUUAGCAUGCACGAGGUCCUGGGUUCAAUCUCCAGUACCUCCA